UACGUAGGGUGCGAGCGUUUAAUCGGAAUUACUGGGCGUAAAGUGUGCGCAGGCGGCCGAGCAAGUCGAGUGUGAAAGCCCCGGGCUUAACUUGGGAAUUGCGCUCGAAACUACUUGGCUGGAGUGUGGCAGAGGAAGGUGGAAUUCCACGUGUAGCGGUGAAAUGCGUAGAGAUGUGGAGGAACACCGAUGGCGAAGGCAGCCCCCUGGGCCUGCACUGACGCUCAUGCACGAAAGCGUUGGGGAGCAAACAGG
rnacentral:rRNA from 1 species